AAGAGAACGUGAAACCGGUAUAAUGGAAGCAUAUGGAGUUGACGUAUCUGGUAUGUAUUCAGUUGUUUGUGAGCGGUUGCGUAGGUGGCGAUUCCGUAAGGUUCGGCACCUAUUCCCAGCCGUUCGCAUGCGAUGCACUUACAUACGGAGUGUGCUGGAUCAUGUGAGGACGCUUGUCGGAAUCGGUUAAGAGGACACGCAAGUGAAACCUUGGCCGGUGUAGGCAAGUUGGCUUUACAUGCGCGAUUCGUUUGGUUCUACGCGGUUUUGGCGAUUAUGUACGUUGAAUUGGUGCGUUCACAUGUGUAUGUGCCUUUACGAUGUGCGUGAUUGUUUUGACAGCCCAAGCGAAUAUCCGGUAUUCGAGUCAAUGACCCAUUUGACCCGUCUUGAAACACGGACCAAGGAGUGUAAGGUAAUCGCGAGUUAUUGAGCUAACGAAACUCAAAAGCGCAAUGAAAGUGAGGCCCGUAGAUCGGCCGUGGUGUGAGGUUGCGUGGGUUUUGUGAUCCGCCUACCGCAACACCGGCUCAUGUCGAGGACUUGUCCUGAUGUGACGCUUGAGCGAUUGCGUUGCGACCCGAAAGAUGGUGAACUGUGAUUGAACAGGAUGAAGCCAGAGGAAACUCUGGUGGAAGUCCGAAGCGGUUCUGACGUGCAAAUCGAUCGUCUGAUUUGAUUACAGGGGCGAAAGACUAAUCGAACCAUCUAGUAGCUGGUUCCUUCCGA
rnacentral:rRNA from 1 species